rnacentral:rRNA from 1 species
UGGGGAAUAUUGCACAAUGGGCGCAAGCCUGAUGCAGCCAUGCCGCGUGUAUGAAGAAGGCCUUCGGGUUGUAAAGUAUUUUCAGCGGGGAGGAAGGGAGUAAAGUUAAUACCUUUACUCAUUGAUGUUACCCGCAGAAGAAGCACCGGCUAACUCCGUGCCAGCAGCCGCGGUAAUACGGAGGGUGCAAGCAUUAAUCGGAAUUACUGGUCGUAAAGCGCACGCAGACGGUUUGUUAAGUCAGAUGUGAAAUCCCCGGGCUCAACCUGGGAACUGCAUCUGCUACUGGCAAGCUUGAGUCUCGUAGAUGGGGGUAGAAUUCCAGGUGUAGCGGUGAAAUGCGUAGAGAUCUGGAGGAAUACCGGUGGCGAAGGCGGCCCCCUGGACGAAGACUGACGCUCAGGUGCGAAAGCGUGGGGAGCAAACAGG